rnacentral:tRNA from 1 species
GCCGAUGUGGCGGAAUUGGUAGACGCGCUAGCUUGAGGGGCUAGUGGGGGUAACCUCGUGCCGGUUCGAGUCCGGCCAUCGGCACCA